CAGUAGCCGCGGUAAUACGAAGGGUGCAAGCGUUACUCGGAAUUACUGGGCGUAAAGCGUGCGUAGGUGGUGGUUUAAGUCCGUUGUGAAAGCCCUGGGCCCAACCUGGGAAUUGCAGUGGAUACUGGGUCACUAGAGUGUGGUAGAGGAUAGUGGAAUUUCCGGUGUAGCAGUGAAAUGCGUAGAGAUCGGAAGGAACAUCUGUGGCGAAGGCGACUAUCUGGGCCAACACUGACACUGAGGCACGAAAGCGUGGGGAGCAAACAGGAUUAGAUACCCGCGUAGUCCCUGUCUCUUAUAA
rnacentral:rRNA from 1 species